GACGAACGCUGGCGGCGUGCUUAACACGUGCAAGUCGAACGGUGAAGCGCCUUCCUUUUUGGUGGGUGUGGAUGAGUGGCGAACGGGUGAGUAACACGUGAGUAACCUGCCCCCUUCUUCUGGAUAACCGCAUGAAAGUGUGGCUAAUACGGGAUAUUCUGGGUCUGUCGCAUGAUGGGUCCGGGAAAGAUAUUGUUUCGGUGGGGGAUGGGCUCGCGGCCUAUCAGCUUGUUGGUGGGGUGAUGGCCUACCAAGGCGGUGACGGGUAGCCGGCCUGAGAGGGUGGACGGUCACACUGGGACUGAGACACGGCCCAGACUCCUACGGGAGGCAGCAGUGGGGAAUAUUGCACAAUGGGCGCAAGCCUGAUGCAGCGACGCCGCGUGAGGGAUGGAGGCCUUCGGGUUGUGAACCUCUUUCGCCAGUGAAGCAGGCCUGCCUCGUUUGUGGGUGGGUUGACGGUAGCUGGAUAAGAAGCGCCGGCUAACUACGUG
rnacentral:rRNA from 1 species